rnacentral:lncRNA from 1 species
GAUCCCGCUUCUCUGCCUACCUGUCUCAACAAGCUUGAAGAUUUUCAAGGCAAAGGCCAGCAGCUUAGAAGAUCUUCAAAGCAAAGGCAAAAUGUUUUGUACAGUGAAAAGAUUACUGAUGGUGAUUCUUUUAGCUCCCCAAAGAGUUCAAAAGGGAGCAAACCAGACAGAUCCAGUGAAGAGGAGCUGCAAGAAGCAGGUGUGCGUGGUGGGCUAUCCAAAGAUGGCACAUCAACUGAAAGGGAGUUGAAACAGAAAGCCAGUUCUAUUGAAGAGAGCAUGCCAAAUAAGAAAAGCAAUACCAGUGAACAGAAAGCAGAACGAAAGGAAGCAGAUGUAUCAGAUUAUGAUGACGGGAGCACGCUGAAUUCAGAGAUCAUUGAGUAUCCUGAUCCAGAUUUCAGUGAUUUUGAUAAAGUUAGGGAAGAAAACUGUUUUGCUGUGAAUCAAACUUGGGCUAUUUAUGAUCCAUGUGAUGGCAUGCCAAGAUUCUACGCUCGGAUCAAGAAAGUUUUCUCACCCCAUUUUAGGUUACAGAUUACUUGGCUUGAGCCUAAUCCAGAUGAUGAAAGUGAGAAAGCCUGGCGUGAUGUUGAACUGCCUAUUGCUUGUGGUAAGUUCACCAAUGGGAAGAUUGAAGAAACUGAAGAUCGUCUAAUGUUUUCUCAUCAGAUAUGUUGGAUGAACGGUGGUGGUAGACGCUCUUUCCUGACAUAUCCUAAAGGGGGGGAAACUUGGGCCAUCUUUAGUGAUUGGGAUAUUAAGUGGGGUCGUGACCCAGAAAAGCAUGGACCACCAUACCAGUAUGAAUUUGUGGAGGUGCUGACAGAUUUUGAUGAGAAUGUUGGUAUUGGGGUUGCCUAUUUGAGCAAAGUCAAUGGGUUUGUCAGCCUGUUUAAGCAAACUGCACAUCAUGGGGUUAUCCCACCAGCUCAUAUGUAUAGAUUUUCACAUCAAAUUCCCUCGUAUAGAAUGACUGGCAAGGAGAGGGAAGAUGUUCCUGUUGGAUCUUUUGAGUUUGAUCCCGCUUCUCUGCCUACGAGUCUCAACAAGCUUGAAGAAUUAUCAGAUUAGUGGCUGUUGGAAUCUCGAUCCCUUGGCGAUUCCUGGUGCUACUCCUGGUGGUACUAUUAUUUUAGAUUAAAUAGGAGCAGUAUGUUGUAUACCCGUCCUUUUCCCCUCUCACCUUAAUGUAAGCAGGAUCUUUUGCUAGAAUGCCACAUGUGAAAAGAAUCAAAUGAACCUGAGUAGAAACUUUAACAUUUUACUUUGUACGCAUGGAUGGCCUUGAUUGUUAUUAUUCUUUUAUUUGGGCCAGUUUUUAUGUAACCUGCCGGAUGAUGAAAUUUUUCUGGAACUUUUGUAGACUCCUCUUUGGUUAAUUUUUAGUAUUCACAGUGCUUAUAUUGCACAUUUUGUGAUCUAUUUUAGUUUAUCUUUC